GGCGCUGGCCGGAGAAUGUCGGGCGCGCGGGGCGGUGGGCGCGUGGCCCCUCCCUCCGGCGGGCGCGCGGCAGCCGCAGCGGCGGCGGGGGGGGGCGGAGGCGAGGAGGCGGCGCCUGUGUCGGCGCUGGAGGUUGUGUCCUUCCUGGGGAAGCUGCUGUGCGCAGUCGCGGCGCUGAAGGCGGCUCUCUACCUGCUCCGCAGAGUGUGUCUAGCGAUGGCCUGGAAGUCGGGAGGCGCCAGCCACUCCGAGCUCAUCCACAACCUCCGCAAAAAUGGAAUAAUCAAAUCAGACAAGGUAUUUGAAGUAAUGUUGGCUACAGACCGUUGCCACUAUGCAAAAUACAACCCUUACAUGGAUUCUCCUCAGUCUAUAGGUUUCCAAGCAACAAUCAGUGCUCCCCAUAUGCACGCAUAUGCUCUUGAACUUCUCUCUGAUCAGUUACAUGAAGGAGCCAAAGCACUUGAUGUAGGAUCUGGAAGUGGAAUCCUUACGGCAUGCUUUUCACGAAUGGUUGGUCCCAAAGGACAAGUUGUAGGAAUUGAUCAUAUCAAAGAACUAGUAGAUGACUCAAUAAAUAAUGUCAAAAAAGAUGAUCCUACAUUGCUGUCGUCAGGAAGAGUGAAACUGAUUGUGGGAGAUGGAAGAAUGGGAUAUGCAGAAGAAGCUCCCUACGAUGCAAUUCAUGUAGGAGCUGCAGCACCAGUAGUGCCCCAAGCACUUAUAGAUCAGUUAAAACCUGGCGGAAGAUUGAUAUUGCCAGUCGGUCCUGCAGGAGGAAACCAGAUGCUUGAACAGUAUGACAAACUAGAAGAUGGCAGUGUCAAAAUGAAGCCUCUGAUGGGAGUGAUAUAUGUGCCUUUAACAGAUAAAGAGAAGCAGUGGUCCAGGUGGAAGUGAUUUUCUGUUCCACUUACUACUUCCACACACACGCAAGGUGAAAGGGUGUGAAUUUUAAGCAGAUAGACUGCAAGGCCUGCCUUUGCUGCUGUCAUUGCUUUCUGCUCUUCCAUACCAUGAAAAGUGACUCAGUCUGCAUUCCUACAUCACCAAAAGGAGGGAUGAAUUGUAAAAGCUACAUCAUCUUGACCCAGACAUAGUGUUACAGUGGACUGCUCAUCUCCAGUUCUAAAAGCUUUUUGAAAACCAACAGCAUUGCAGCUUGUUUUGGACUUUGUUAUACUGUUGUUAUCAGCAUGGAAAAGCGUGGUGUUUGUUUGUGUUUUUUUUUUUUUUUUUUUUUUUUUUUGAUUUUUUGGGUUUUUUUUUUUUUUUUUUUUUUUUUUUUUUUUUGAUGCUCAAGGCAAAUCUGAUAAAGAAAUGGUGGAAAGUUUUAUGUGGGCACUAUUUCAUUUAACAUGCCUUUAUUUUACUUUAAUCUGUUCAAAGAAAUGAAUUUCUGCAAAACAGCAGAUAAAGACCUAUAGCUUGUGAACGCUAAUUUUGAUGAGGGUACUUGAACACUCACUUCUCUCAACUCCUGUGUCCCUUGGUAAAACUGCUUCUGUGCACCUUAUGACACUAUGUAAGUAAUAUCAGAUUUUCUGUGUUCCAAUGUCUGCUAGAUGCUACUAAAAGGAGAUGAACUUCCUUUUUAAAGCUUUUGACAUGGUGUCAUAGACUAGCAUGUAGUAGAUACAAUCAGCUGCUUUAUUACCUUAAAACCAGGCAUUUGUAUAUAUUACAGACAUCAGAAGUGUGGCUGCUCUUAUUAAACUCUGCUGUUCAAGUUGGACAUAAUGAACAUGUUUUUCCCUUCUAAAAUAAUUAAGAGUCUUGAAACUCUAUUGUUUUAUAGCUCACUGCUGAUACAGUACACAUGGAUUUAACUCCAUAAACAUGAUACAAGCUAUGUCCCAAUCACUGAACAGUUUAUGCAGUGUUGCUUUGCCAAAUAAAGUUAAAAGCAAAAAGGGGGUUGUGUGUUUGUUGUGUGGAGUAUUAGGAUCACUGUGUGGUAGGCUACAGAGACAGAUCUCUGUAUUCCAAUAAAAUGACUUUCUAGAUUAAUUCUAAAUGCAAGGUGCUUUUGACAAAACUAUCUGCUGUAUUAACUUUCUCAUUUUUCAACAAGGAAAAGUUCUGGUGUAGUUUAAUUUAGAGGAUGAAUUCAACUUGUAUAACAAGGAAAACUUGAUAGGUACUGAACAAUAACAAAUCCUGAACACUUAAAUAGAGAUGUAAUUGUUCAAUUUUUGAAGCUGUAAUGGUAUAACCCUUUUUUUUGCCUCAAGUUGUGUUUUGCUGCUGUAAAAUGACAACAGGAAAACAAAGAAAGUAAAUUGAGCUACUUUGGGAAAGGGAGGAAGUGUGUUCUUGCUCAGUUUUGAGUAACAAGAAAUUAAACUGCAUGUUACAAUACUCCUUUCUUUUUUAACAUUAAAAAGGAUUAUAGCGUAAAAUAACCUGCAUAAAAACAACCCAUAGUGAUCACUGCAAAAUGAAUCUGACUGCUUAUGGCAGAACAGCAAUAUCUUUGUGAUAGGAUUAAUCACUGAAAGCGUAAAGUCAAAGGCCUCUGAACACGGAAGAGGAACAUUUUAAAUAACCUUCCUUUUGAAGGUCAGUCCUGUCUUAUUCUUGUGUAAAAGCUAUUUAUCACUUUAUUUAGAUGUUUUGGAAGAUAAUACACCACCUCCUAAUUUGACUGCAGCCUGGGAGCACAUACACAAGGAUCAGUCUUAUAAAGGAAGUAAUAUAUCACGUGUUCUAGAAAACACAGUUCAGAAAAACCCACUUGCGUCUGGCAAAUUUUUACUAACCCACAAUCAACUGUGAAUCUAGUUCGUGGUGUUGAAGUGAAAUAUCUUAAAUGAUGCAUGCUGACGUUCAACCUUUUGGUCACUGUUACCAUUCAAUUUGAGUUCAUCUUUAUUUACAUCUUCUCACUAAUUUAAUCAGUUAAAUGAAAGGCAAGAGCUAACUGUAUCCAAAUUCUUGUCUUUGGACACAGUGUAACAAACUAGCCUAACUCAAAGAGGUGAUAAAGCUGAGACCUGGCAACAACUUUUUUAGAGAGAACCACUUCAGGAGGUGUAAGACUUCAGGGACCAAGGCUAUUGGGCUUAGUGUGCCCAUUGUGUAGAAGGGGUUGAUGAUGAUCAAGUUACUGAGACAGAAAAGAGUAUCCAGGAAUAGCAUUUAGGAACUGGAAAAUGAAGACCCCUUCAUAAUGGAUCAAUGGUUCUGAGGUAAAAGCUUCUUGGAGAGAAGGACAAGUUGAAAUGCAGAUUUGAAGAGCUUGAAUAAAUGCUGUAUGAACUGUCUGGAUUGCUACUUUGCCAAAUAAAACAAAUUGAGAGGAAGCUGUA